rnacentral:rRNA from 1 species
UUUCGGGGGUACUCGAGUGGCGAACGGGUGAGUAACACGUGGGUGAUCUGCCCUGCACUUUGGGAUAAGCCUGGGAAACUGGGUCUAAUACCGAAUACACCCUGCUGGUCGCAUGGCCUGGUAGGGGAAAGCUUUUGCGGUGUGGGAUGGGCCCGCGGCCUAUCAGCUUGUUGGUGGGGUGAUGGCCUACCAAGGCGACGACGGGUAGCCGGCCUGAGAGGGUGACCGGCCACACUGGGACUGAGAUACGGCCCAGACUCCUACGGGAGGCAGCAGUGGGGAAUAUUGCACAAUGGGCGCAAGCCUGAUGCAGCGACGCCGCGUGAGGGAUGACGGCCUUCGGGUUGUAAACCUCUUUCAGCACAGACGAAGCGCAAGUGACGGUAUGUGCAGAAGAAGGACCGGCCAACUACGUGCCAGCAGCCGCGGUAAUACGUAGGGUCCGAGCGUUGUCCGGAAUUACUGGGCGUAAAGAGCUCGUAGGUGGUUUGUCGCGUUGUUCGUGAAAACUCACAGCUUAACUGUGGGCGUGCGGGCGAUACGGGCAGACUAGAGUACUGCAGGGGAGACUGGAAUUCCUGGUGUAGCGGUGGAAUGCGCAGAUAUCAGGAGGAACACCGGUGGCGAAGGCGGGUCUCUGGGCAGUAACUGACGCUGAGGAGCGAAAGCGUGGGGAGCGAACAGGAUUAGAUACCCUGGUAGUCCACGCCGUAAACGGUGGGUACUAGGUGUGGGUUUCCUUCCUUGGGAUCCGUGCCGUAGCUAACGCAUUAAGUACCCCGCCUGGGGAGUACGGCCGCAAGGCUAAAACUCAAAGGAAUUGACGGGGGCCCGCACAAGCGGCGGAGCAUGUGGAUUAAUUCGAUGCAACGCGAAGAACCUUACCUGGGUUUGACAUGCACAGGACGCCGGCAGAGAUGUCGGUUCCCUUGUGGCCUGUGUGCAGGUGGUGCAUGGCUGUCGUCAGCUCGUGUCGUGAGAUGUUGGGUUAAGUCCCGCAACGAGCGCAACCCUUGUCUCAUGUUGCCAGCACGUUAUGGUGGGGACUCGUGAGAGACUGCCGGGGUCAACUCGGAGGAAGGUGGGGAUGACGUCAAGUCAUCAUGCCCCUUAUGUCCAGGGCUUCACACAUGCUACAAUGGCCGGUACAAAGGGCUGCGAUGCCGUGAGGUGGAGCGAAUCCUUUCAAAGCCGGUCUCAGUUCGGAUCGGGGUCUGCAACUCGACCCCGUGAAGUCGGAGUCGCUAGUAAUCGCAGAUCAGCAACGCUGCGGUGAAUACGUUCCCGGGCCUUGUACACACCGCCCGUCACGUCAUGAAAGUCGGUAACACCCGAAGCCGGUGGCCU